rnacentral:rRNA from 1 species
UAGUCUGGUGCCAGCAGCCGCGGUAAUACGGGGGAUGCAAGCGUUAUCCGGAAUCAUUGGGCGUAAAGCGCCUGUAGGUUGUUUAAUAAGUCUGUUGUUAAAGACUAGGGCUUAACCCUAGAAAAGCAAUGGAAACUACUAGACUAGAGUAUGGCAGGGGUAGAGGGAAUUUCUAGUGUAGCGGUGAAAUGCGUAGAUAUUAGAAAGAACACCAGUGGCGAAAGCGCUCUACUGGACCAUUACUGACACUCAGAGGCGAAAGCUAGGGUAGCAAAAGGGAUUAGAUACCCCUGUAGUCCUAGCCGUAAACGAUGGAUACUAGAUGUUGUGCAUAAAGUACAGUAUCCUAGCUAACGCGUUAAGUAUCCCGCCUGGGGAGUACGCUCGCAAGGGUGAAACUCAAAGGAAUUGACGGGGGCCCGCACAAGCGGUGGAGCAUGUGGCUUAAUUCGAUGCAACGCGAAGAACCUUACCAGGACUUGACAUACUACAGAUUCUUUUGAGAAAAAGAAGUGCCUUCGGGAAUGUAGAUACAGGUGGUGCAUGGCCGUUCUU